rnacentral:rRNA from 1 species
UACGGAGGGUGCAAGCGUUAUCCGGAUUCACUGGGUUUUAAAGGGUGCGUAGGCGGGCAGGUAAGUCCGUGGUGAAAUCUCUGAGCUUAACUCAGAAAACUGCCAUGGAUACUAUUUGUCUUGAAUAUUGUGGAGGUAAGCGGAAUAUGUCAUGUAGCGGUGAAAUGCUUAGAUAUGACAUAGAACACCAAUUGCGAAGGCAGCUUACUACACAGUAAUUGACGCUGAGGCACGAAAGCGUGGGGAUCAAACAGG